rnacentral:snoRNA from 1 species
UGACGUCGGUUCCUCUUCCUGUCUGCAGUGAAUCAGGAGGAUUUUACGACGUCGCAGAGAAACUCGGGUCUUUUUCACCCAGGAAGCUUCCGGCUGCAGCCGAAACUAAAUCAGCUUCCUGGUUUUGCGGGACCCAAUAAAA